CUCUUACCAGAUGUUUUGAUGCUAAGGUGGGAUUGUUGAAGCUUCACAGGUUGCAGUAAAUAGUCUCUUGCCGACACUUGAUGCUACUAAGGAGUGAUCCAGGCUGCAUAGACUAAUGUGUAAUGGUAUCAAAUUUCCCUGUUGUCGGGUUUAUGGCGCUGCUUUGAAUGAAUUAUCAAUACAAAGAUUUCUUGCCAGAGUUCAACUGUUCCAGAAGUCCAAUAUGUUGAAAUGUCCAUGUAUGCUCGUUUCUUUUUGUUUCUUUUUUUUCUUUUGGCCCCUUUUGAGAAAUGUUAGUGGAAUCUUGUUUGAACACCCCUACAAUCAAUUCAUGGAAUCUUAGAACACCUUUUCUGAUUUUUUUUUGAGAAAUUGAGUUUGUUAGUGUUUCUUAUGAAUAUCAGUCAAAUGUUCCUUCUGAGACAAUAUGCAUGGUUCACCACUCUGGGGAUUUCUGUGUGCCUGUGGCAAUAAUAAUAACAUAUAGGCCUUCAGUGCUAACCAAGCAGAAGCGCAUAUUACUGAAAGCAUGCAGCAAUGAAUUAGUUGCACCUGAAUAGAAAGGCAUUAACAGCUGUAUGUUUCAGGUGAGUUGUGAUGUGUGCAGCACAAUAUAUCUUGUUCUGUGGAGUCAAGGGAGCAUGCAAUGCCACAUUUUGUGAGGAUGCAUAUUUGCUGCAUAUUUUUAGCUUUGUUUCCAGAACUCUAUUACGCUGAUUUGACAUAUAUUUCAGGAGAAAAUGCUAGAAAGACCAUAUUAUUUUGUGCACAACCUCUGGAAUUCAAUUCAUGGUAGUAAAUGAGGGACUAUGAGAAAUCCUCACUACGGGGAUAUCUAACUGAAGCACUACAUAGUGCCCGUUCGGAGCCCCUCCGCUCCACAACUCUGCCACGGAGCGGAGCGGGCUGCAGUUCAAAUUUCCAGAGCGGUGGAAUAGGUGCUCCUGCUCCGCCAGGCUGCAGUUCAAAUUUCCAGAGCGGUGGAAUAGGUGCUCCUGCUCCGCCAGAUUCGUGGAGCUGGUGGAUUACCAAACAGGCCCAUAAUAUACGGGCUGUUUCAGUUGUAAUUGUGACUGCAAAUUGUAUGGAAACACAUGAAUUAGUUAUGUUCUCUGAAUGACAAUAUUACUGAAAGAGCAUGAUCCUUCCUAGUGCUGUUGGCUGAUACACCAUGCAAACUUCUUUUGGUUUUGAUCGCGGAUGGUUCUCAUGUGGUUGCUGAUACACCAUAUGCUGAAGUGGUGGAAGUCAUGAAAAUGUGCAUGCCACUGUUACUACCGGCCUCUGGUGUCAUUCACUUUGUCAUGUCUGAGGGUCAGGCCAUGCAGGUUCGUUUCUUCGCUUCCCCCUUGGUUGUAUGUUAACAGCGCUAAAUGUACAUUCUGGCUAGAGCAAUUUAUGCUUGUAUUGUAAUAUGCGUGCAUCUUUCAAAUAUGAGUUGAAAUGGCUGUCUUUGUGCAGGCGAGUGGCCUGAUAGCAAGGUGGGAUCUUGUUGACCCAUCUACAGUAGGUUUCUGUUCUUUCAAUAAGCAUUUUCUGGUUCUAAUCGUAGGGUACUAGUGCACAUAUUACAGAUUGAUGGUCCAUGGUUAGCAGAAAAAAAUUUAGGCACCCACAGAAGCUGACUCACGCAGGUUAUUUAAAAAUGAACUUUUAUGGCUUAAACGUUUGAAAUCCCCACUGUGUGAAAUCAUACAUUUGCGCUGCUGCAAAAUGCAUUACAUUGAUUGUGUGUUUUUUCUAUGUUAUCUUUCCUCUUUGGUCCUUCUAAAAUAUAUGACCUUUUAUGCCUGACCUCAGUCAGAGCUGAGAGAAACGAGCCCUAGAUGCAAUACUCUGUUAUUUAGGCAGCACUUUUCUUUUCUUCCUUGGAGAACUAUAAAUGGUAAAUGCGGUGCACAAAUAUCUGCUGGCAGAUUACUUCAUAUUCUUGGGGCAUUGUUAACUGUUGCUUGUGGACUCGUUCUGGAUGUACCAAUGUCCACAAUAAUUGUCAUCUACAAGACUACAAGUGCCCUGUGAUGCUUUUCAAAUGGUGGAAACGACUGAUCAAGGAUUUGAUUGGGAGAGAAGUACUGAAGUAGUACUUUUUUAAAGUGUGCCAUUUGUAGGUCUUGCUAUUCUUCUCUGGCCAUUUGCGGUACUAGGGGUCUGUCCUUGCAUGCAUCCAUACUCUACAGCAUUCCUUUAGGCACGUAUGGUGCAGUUGUUGCUUACCAGGUAUGGCAGAUUGUACUUCCACCACAAAUUAUCAUCUAGUGACAACUAUUAGGCGAUAUAUCUUUUUUCUUGUCGAAGUCACAAAGCUUGCUCGUGUUGAUUUAUCAGGAAUCCUCUGUAGUCACCAGACUCUUACUAUGAUGUCUCAUCUGUGUCCAUCCUUGAUGAGUACACGAAUGAUGUAUGUGCUUGGCAUGGCAUCGGGAUCUUGCUUUGCAAGGUAUAACCAUAAACAAUAUCGCAUGCCUUUGGAUCAGAUCCUAGAUAACUUAGGGUUUCUGGUUCUGAUGUUUGAACUCUCUUAGGUUGAAAUGUCGGGAAAAAUGAAAGUUGUUCACCUAAGCCGGGCUAAUUCGACAAGGAGAAGUAAAAAGGCAAAAAAACCUCUAGCACGUGUUACAUCAUUUAAGAACGACAUGGAUGAGUUCAACCAAUUCACUGUUAUCUUUUCUUCAUUGAUAACCUAGAAUGCUUUCAUAUUCUUGUGGCAAAUUUCACUUUUGUGCAGUCCAGCAGGAACAACAAAUACAAAUGUUGAGAAUAGGUUAUUCGGUUUUCGUAAUGUCACCGUGCACUGCUAUCUGUUCCUUGAUAAUAUUUGAUCUAACAGUUUGUCUAAUUCACAUCUAGAUGUUUUUUAAGGAUGUCACAUCUAAGCUCCCACAAAUAUAUAAUGCAACAACAAGAAACAAAAAAAAACUAGGAUAAAAUAAUAGACCAUAAACAGAGUGGAUAUCAGCUUAGAUGUGACAUAAGUAUGUCACAUCUAAAUGUGUCCUAGACAAACCCUUGAUCUAAUGAAAUCUGGCGGAAUAAAUGUUGAGCUUGCUCGCCGCAGUCGGGUCGUCACUGGUCAGAUCCCGGCGUGCGUGCCCCGCUGCCAGGCAGGCACUGCCUACACCUGACGCCUGCUCCUGGGUGUAGGCUGGCUGUCCUGUCCAGGUGCUUCUGGUCUUGUUCGUAUUUGGAAAAUCUAUUACUGUAUUUGCGUCAAAAUUAGCCCAGAAGCUGGCACGUCGCGCGCGGUACUGCCGACACGAAUAGAUGGGCAGGCAGGCUUCUCCAUAACGACCAUUAAUAGUUGCUCCUGUAGUGACCAAAUAAGUUUUAGGCCUCCUUUGGUUUGGUUUAGAGGAAUUUUAUAGGAAUUCUAAAGGAUAGGAUUCUUAUAGGAUUUUUUUCUUUAGAGCCUUUUGGUUCAUAGGAAUGGAUUCCUAUUCCUACAUAGGAUUGAUUCAUAUCCUCCACAUUUCAUAGGAAAAUAAAAAUGAGCCUAGACUCAAUGGAAAAAUUCCUUUGGUGUCAACCAAAUGACAUCUUGUUUCCUAUUCCUACUCAUAGGAUUUGAGAUACAUGUCAUCUCAUUUCCUAUAAGAUUCCUAUUCCUAUGAUAAUCCUAUCCUAUGAACCAAAAGAGGCCUUAGCUGCUCUUAUAACAAAGGAAUCCAUAUUUACAAUAAAAAUUUGACCAGAUUUUUUUAUGUGCGAUUUGAAUAGACAUACAUUUUCACAAAUAAAUUGUUCAAGGUGAAUUAUUGCCACCCCCUGUGUCCGCUCCAUUUUGGUCCGGCCCAUUUCGGAAUUCCUUCUCCGCCGCCGAUCUUGGGAAGGUUCUAGAACACCUUCCCCGAGCCUUUUUUCCCUUUGUUUAUUCUUUAUUCUUUAUUAUUUUCCAUUUACAUUUUUUCCUUUUUCGUUUUUCCUCUAUUGUUCUGUUUUUUCCUUUUCUCUCCCUUUUUUUCUUUUUACUUUUUUUGCGGCCAUCUUUCAAACUUUUGAACAUAGUUUCUCGAAUCUUGAACUAUUUUUCAAAGUAAUGAACAUUUUUUGAACUCGUGAGAAUUUUUUAAAUUCACGAACAUUUGUUAAAAUCAUGAACAUUUUUUAAUUGACAUUUUUUUACAAACGUGCAAACAUUUUUGGAAAAAAGUGAUCAUCUUUUUGAAACCCGUGAUAAUUUUAAUUUUAAUCGAUGAACAUAUUUUUGGUAAUUGGGGGAUUUUUUUUGUUAAAUUCACGAACAAUUCUUUUGUUUAGAUGAACAUUUUUUUGAAAUGCAUAAACAUUUUUCGAAUACGUGAUUUUGUUUUUAUCAGCAAACAUUUUUUUGAAUCGAUGAACUUGUUUUGUAAAUUAUGAACAUUUUUCAUUUUUCCCUAUUUCUUUACAAAAUUCAUGAUUGUUCUUGAAUUUGCGAACAUUUGUUCAAUUUCAUAAAAUUUCCAAAAUACAAGUUUUUUUACAAAAAUCAUGAACAUUUUUUGAUUUCCCAAAGUUUUUUUUCAAAAUCAUGAAUAUUUUUUGAAUAUGUGUACACUUUUGUAAGAUCGUGAACAUUUUAUGAUUUCUUUAUAUUUUUUUUCCAAACACACACUUUUUAAAAUUUUGUAACCUUUUGUAAUCCCAAAAUAUGUACUAGAAUACAAAUAUACACUGAAAAGAAAAAAGAAUGAAAAAAUUUGACUUUCAAAAUGGGGCCCGGAAAAUGGGCAGGCCCAAACGGGUGCGCUGGGGGACUGAAUGGUGCAUGUUGCAUUUCCUUCCAGUGCGCAGCGCGUCGAAUAGGGGGAGCUCCUUUUUUUUCGAGGGGUAAUAGGGGGAGCUUCUAUUCAGCGCUUUAAGUGCUAGCCCAGCAAUCUGCUGAAAAACAAACGCGAUGGAAAAGUUUCAAUUUAUUUCGAGUGAAGUGGGACUCGAACAACAGAAGCCAAAGUCCACCGCACCGCGCACUAACCACUAAACCAGGCUCAACUUUCUUGCCUACAGAGAGUAAAGAGAUAUCGUUAACCCUUCCUUUAGUGCAACAGUAGCAUAUAGUAGUAUUCUAUACCCACUAUAAAUUGAAUAAAGAAAAAUAUAAAUUUGAAAAACAAUUCACAAAACCAAUGAAUUGAAAAUAAUAUUUUUUUUGAAAAAUGAUCAUACCAAUUGGAAAAAGUUUGAGAUAAUGGAAAUUUUUUGUGAAUUCGAAAAUAAGUUCAUGAUCUAAAAAAAGUUCAUGAAUUUAAAAAAAUCAUGAAAUUAUAUAAAGUUCAUCAAUUUGAAAACUAGUUCGAAAUAGUUGAUUGAUUUGAUAAAACGUUCAUCAAUUUGGACUUAAAAAUAACGAAUUUGGAAAUAGGUCACGGGGUAUUGAAAAAAGUUCAUCAAUUUUGAAUUAAAAAAUCAUGCAUUCGAAAAUAGUUCACCGGCUUUUGAAAUAAAGUUCACAGAUUUUUUUAAAAAAAUCACUAAUUUUGAUAAAAUAGUUCAUGGUUUUGAAAAAAAGUUCAUCAAUUUGAAGAAAAGUUCAUCAAAUUUGAAAAAAGUUCAUAGGAUUUUAGAAAAUUUUCACUGAAUUCGAAAAAAGUGCAUUGAUUUUGAAAUAAAUUUCACCGAUAUUGAUUUGUUUUCUCAAAUUUGAAAAAUGUUCAUCGAAAUUGAAAAAGUUCAGGCAUUGCGAAAAAGUUCAUCAAUUCUGAAUUUUUUUACAAAUUUGAAAAAGAGGCCAUGGAUUUUUGAAAAGAAAUAGCAAAAGUCGCAUUUGCAAAAUAAACAAAAAAUAAACAGAGAAAAGUAAGUAAAAGAAAAAAUCCAUAGGCAUUGCGAUCUAUAGAAAGAAUGAAAGGCAAAAAAGAUGUAAAUCGACACAUGCGGGUUGUUGUCCGAGUGGUUGCUGCGUUAUUCUUUUUGAUGCUUCUGGUUCUAACCUGUCACAACACAUUCAUUUUUUUCCCAGUUUUAACUGGAAAAGAGAAAAUCAAAAGGGCCUACCCAAGCGCAGAAGGGGGUGUGCGCUUCAGGCAUCCGCUUGCAAAAUGACGCCUGAAACGUCAAAUAGGGAUUGCCUCAAAUAGGAGCUCGACAUGUUUGACGGGCGUCAUAAUAAUGACUAACCAUUGGUGGGCCACGGUCCAUAAAAUAUACGCUAGCUAGUGUGGAUCUUUAUGCCAUCGGGUGAUGGAGAUAUAGGGCUCAUCUAUGCAGGAGAAGCUAGUUGACAUGGUCAGGUCCAAUGAGCCGUUGGUCAUCAAGACAUUGGAGGCAAAAAAGAGUUGGCCGAGAAGAAGGCUCAAGAGAAGCAAGAGAAGUGACAACUACUCAAAGAGGAGACUAACCACAAGGCCGACAUUAAGGAGAGAAUUGCCAAGGCCGCGGAGGACAAAGCCAUGGCCAAGCUCCUUCCAGAGGAGAACAAGAUCAUGAUGAUAUGAACCGAAAUGAGAUGGACGAUGUCAGCAAAGAAUGGCAUGACAUGGCAAGGUUGGAGAUCUUAGAGAGGAGGAGGCUAGCCGGAAGAGGCCAUGCGGUGCCAAGGUUCGGUGGUUCGGCAAGUUGUGGCAAUGGUGGCGGUGAAGAUAUCAUCUUGUGAUGAUGAUGAUGAUGAAGUGAUGCUGGAUGCUAUGUCUUUUGGGUUGUCUUUUGGAUUGUGGUUCAAAAACUAUGUUGCAAGGCCGCCAAAACUAUGUGGUGGUGGUAAGAUUAUGUUUAUUUGUUGAAAAUCACGGCCAAUUCAUUUGUGUGCAUUUAUGGUUUGAGGGCCGAAAUCGGAAGCGUGCGAACAGAGCCCGCAAACCCGAGCGGUAAAAGAGAAUGUCCCUGGAUUGUUCCGCUGUAGCCAAUUUUGGCCCUUAUAACGCGAUUUUCUCAACCCUUAUCCCGCUUAUAUGGCUCACAGAUUUAAGGGGUCAGCCGAUUUCGACCCUUAUAACGCGAUUUUCUCAACCAUAUAUAUCAUAUAUCAUGAAAAAUAAAAAUGCAUUAACAUAAAAACAAAAUUUUAGUCGGCAAAUAAAGUCUAAAUACACCAUCUAUAUGUGAUUAUAUGCUGCAAAUAUGAUUAUAAUGUACUCAACUAUAAAUAACUAUUGAAUAAAUACAACAUCAUGGUGAAGUGCGUCGAGGAGGAAAGGGGGGGGGGCAUCUGCCCCCUACCCAUGUUGAUUUUCUGUUCUGCAAAUCAACUUUUUGUAGUUUUUUUACAGUAUGUACAUCGGUCUCAACAAACACACCACAAAAGAAGGUUACAUCGAAUAGAUCUCCACAAGAGAGGGGGAGAACAUUGUAUUGAGAUCCAAAAAGAGAGAAGAAGCCAUCUAGCUAAUAACUAUGGAACCGAAGGUCUGAGGUAAACUGCUCACACAUCAUUGGAGAGGCUAUGGUGUUGAUGUAGAAGCCCUCCGUGACCGAUGCCCCCUCCGGCAAAGCUCCAGAAAAGGCCCCAAGAUGGGAUCUCACGGGUACAAAAGGUCGCGGCGGUGGAAUUUGGUUUUUGGCUCCGUAUCUGGUAGUUUGGGGGUACGUAGGUAUAUAUAGGAGGAAGAAGUACAUCGGCGGAGCAACGUGGGGCCCACGAGGGUGGAGGGCGCGCCAGGGGGGUAGGCGCGCCCCCUACCUGGUGCCUUCCUGGUAGCUUUCUUGACGUAGGGUCCAAGUCCUCUGGAUCAUGUUCGUUCCAAAAAUCACGUUCUCGAAGGUUUCAUUUCGUUUGGACUCCGUUUGAUAUUCUUUUUCUGCGAAACUCUGAAAUAGGCAAAUAAACAACAAUUCUGGGCUGGGCCUCCGGUUAAUAGGUUAGUCCCAAAAAUAAUAUAAAAGUGUAUAAUAAAGCCCAUUAAUGUCCAAAACACAAUAUAAUAUAGCAUGGAAUAAUAAAAAAAAUUAUAGAUACGUUGGAGACGUAUCAGAAGCAUAAGAUGAAAAUGCAUAUUCUUGGACAUAACCCUGCCAUUUGGGCUAUUGUGUGUAUUGGCUUGCAAGGUGAAUUCUUCGAUGGGAGAGAACCGAACCGUGAAGCUACCGUGGAAGAGUUGAAGAUGCUGCAAUACAACGCUCAAGCUUGUGAUAUUCUCUUCAACGGAUUGUGCCCCGAAGAGUUUAACAAAAUCAGCCGUCUUGAGAAUGCAAAGGAAAUUUGGGAUACUUUGAUUGAUAUGCACGAAGGUACCAACUCCAUCAAGGAAUACAAAUUGGAUGUGCUUUAAAGUCAACUUGACAAGUUCAAAAUGAAGGAUGGUGAAGGUGUCGCUGAAAUGUACUAUAGGCUUGCUCUCAUUACAAAUGAGAUUGCCGACUUAGGAAGUGAAGAGAUGACCGAUAGAUUCAUCAUCAAGAAGAUCCUAAGAGCCUUGGAUGGAAAAUAUGAUACCGUGUGCACAUUGAUCCAAAUGAUGCCCAACUACAAAGAUCCAUAUGAUGCCCAACUACAAAGAUGCAGGACUGAGACAGUGGAGAAAGGCUGACCCAUAUGCUGUUAGGAGGAGAACUGCUAUGGAUUAUAGGUUUCACACAAAGGAACAACAAGAUUUCUAUGAGACUAUCCUGCUUGACAAAAAGCCCAUAGUGUGUGACAUGAGAUGGGUGGACUGGACCUACAUAAGAGAGAAUGAAUAUCACUUCCCAGAUGUUUAUGACAACUUCAAGGCAUGUGAGGUUGACAAAUUUGUUGGCCAAAAGCUCACAAAGUGGAAUAAUGAGCUGAUCAUGCAAUUCUAUUCUACUGCUCAUUUCUACCCAGAUGGCAGAAUCAUAUGGAUGUCAGAGGAUACAAGGUACCAGUCUACAGUUGAUGAGUGGGCUAGAUUGAUCAAUGCUCCAGAAGCUCAUGAAGAUGAUUUGGAUGUCUAUGCCAAGAAGAAGAAGAAUCACAACUCAAUGGCCAGCAUGUACAAGGAGAUUCCUGAUGCAGACAUGGAGACUCAUAAGUUUGGCUCUGUGAAGCACUUACUGUCAGGCCUGCCUACAAUCAAUAUCAUUAUGAGGCACACUCUGUUGCCAAAGUCAGGUGAUCACAGAACGAUCAGAGGACACUCCAUCAACUUGCUGCAUAUAUUUGACGUUCCUCAAAAGUUCAAAGUGAUGAGUCUGAUUGUGGAAACAAUCAAGAGGACAACUGCAGAUCAGAAGAGAUCUUGUGGGUAUGCUCCACAAAUUCAGGUACUCAUCAACUCUAAGAUGAGCACAUUCACAUAUCUAUUGGACAAAGAGCAUUUACCCCUCAGGCCAGACUUUGAGGACAACAUUGUUGUCAUGACCGAGGAAGAUCCAUCAUCAGUGCAAGCACAUGAGAAGAGAGAGAAGACAAGGACAGAGAAAGCUGCAAGGAUGCCAACUACUGAAGAGGCACCUCAAGUGUUCUUGAAGAGCAAGCAAGAUCAGCUUGGAUAUCCGAUCCAAUCCACCUUGAGGAUUGAGAAGGGCUUGGCCACCCUGACUCAGAACCAGGAGAGCUUGGAGAGGAUCAUUGAAUAGACAUUCUAUGAUCUUGAUGUCAAGGUAACUGAGAUUCAGUCAGUGGUUGAGCAACUUCAGGAAGAAGUGGAGGAGAAAAAGGGCAAGUCUACUACAGAUGCUUUUACUAGAGUACCCAGAACCCAGAGGUCUGCUGCAGUGCCUGUCCCAGACACAAGAGCUACUACAUCUGUGUUGGGGAACGUAGUAAUUUCAAAAAAUUUCCUAUGCACACACAAGAUCAUGGUGAUGCAUAGCAACAAGAGGGGAGAGUGUGAUCUACGUACCCUUGUAGACCGACAGCGGAAGCGUUAGAACAACGCGGUUGAUGUAGUCGUACGUCUUCACGGCCCGACCAAUCAAGCACCGAAACUACGGCACCUCCGAGUUCUAGCACACGUUCAGCUCGAUGACGAUCCCCGGACUUCGAUCCAGCAAAGUGUCGGGGAAGAGUUCCGUCAGCACGACGGCGCGGUGAUGAUCUUGAUGUACUACCGUCGCAGGGCUUCGCCUAAGCACCGCUACAAUAUUAUCGAGGAUUAUGGUGGAAGGGGGCAUCGCACACGGCUAAGAAUAUGAUCACGUGGAUNNNNNNNNNNNNNNNNNNNNNNNNNNNNNNNNNNNNNNNNNNNNNNNNNNNNNNNNNNNNNNNNNNNNNNNNNNNNNNNNNNNNNNNNNNNNNNNNNNNNNNNNNNNNNNNNNNNNNNNNNNNNNNNNNNNNNNNNNNNNNNNNNNNNNNNNNNNNNNNNNNNNNNNNNNNNNNNNNNNNNNNNNNNNNNNNNNNNNNNNNNNNNNNNNNNNNNNNNNNNNNNNNNNNNNNNNNNNNNNNNNNNNNNNNNNNNNNNNNNNNNNNNNNNNNNNNNNNNNNNNNNNNNNNNNNNNNNNNNNNNNNNNNNNNNNNNNNNNNNNNNNNNNNNNNNNNNNNNNNNNNNNNNNNNNNNNNNNNNNNNNNNNNNNNNNNNNNNNNNNNNNNNGCGGCCGGCCAGGAGGAGGGCGCGCCAGGAGGAGUCCUACUCCCACCGGGAGUAGGAUUCCCCCCUUUCCUAGUUGGAAUAGGAUUCGGGAAGGGGGAAAGAGGAGAGAGAGAAGGAAGGGGGGCGCCGCCCCCCUCUCCUUGUACUAUUCGGACUAGGGGGAGGGGCGCGUGGCCCAGCCCUGGCCACCUCUCCUCUCUUCCACUAAAGCCCACUAAGGCCCAUAUACCUCCCGGGGGGUUCCGGUAACCUCCCGGUACUCCGGUAAAAUCCCGAUUUCACCCGGAACACUUCCGAUAUCCAAAUAUAGGCUUCCAAUAUAUCAAUCUUUAUGUCUCGACCAUUUCGAGACUCCUCGUCAUGUCCGUGAUCACAUCCGGGACUCCGAACAAACUUCGGUACAUCAAAAAGCAUAAACUCUUAAUAUAACUGUCAUCGAAACCUUAAGCGUGCGGACCCUACGGGUUCGAGAACAAUGUAGACAUGACCGAGACACGUCUCCGGUCAAUAACCAAUAUCGGAACCUGGAUGCUCAUAUUGGCUCCUACAUAUUCUACGAAGAUCUUUAUCGGUCAGACCGCAUAACAACAUACUUUGUUCCCUUUGUCAUCGGUAUGUUACUUGCCCGAGAUUCGAUCGUCGGUAUCUCAAUACCUAGUUCAAUCUCAUUACCGGCAAGUCUCUUUACUCGUUUCAUAAUACAUCAUCUCGCAACUAACUCAUUAGUUGCAAUGCUUACAAGGCUUAUGUGAUGUGCAUUACCGAGAGGGCCCAGAGAUACCUCUCCGACAAUCGGAGUGACAAAUCCUAAUCUUGAAAUACGCCAACCCAACAUGUACCUUUGGAGACACCUGUAGAGCUCCUUUAUAAUCACCCAGUUACGUUGUGACGUUUGGUAGCACACAAAGUGUUCCUCCGGCAAACGGGAGUUGCAUAAUCUCAUAGUCAUAGGAACAUGUAUAAGUCAUGAAGAAAGCAAUAGCAACAUACUAAACGAUCAGGUGCUAAGCUAAUGGAAUGGGUCAUGUCAAUCACAUCAUUCUCCUAAUGAUGUGAUCCCGUUAAUCAAAUGACAACACAUGUCUAUGGUUAGGAAACAUAACCAUCUUCGAUUAACGAGCUAGUCAAGUAGAGGCAUACUAGUGACACUUUGUUUGUCUAUGUAUUCACACAUGUAUUAUGUUUCCGGUUAAUACAAUUCUAGCAUGAAUAAUAAACAUUUAUCAUGAAAUAAGGAAAUAAAUAAUAACUUUAUUAUUGCCUCUAGGGCAUAUUUCCUUCAGUCUCCCACUUGCACUAGAGUCAAUAAUCUAGUUCACAUUGCUAUGUGAUUUAACACCAAUAGUUCACAUCAUCAUGUGAUUAACACUCAAAAGGGUUUACUAGAGUCAAUAAUCUAGUUCACAUCGCUAUGUGAUUAACACCCAAAGAGUACUAAGGUGUGAUCAUGUUUUGCUUGUGAGAGAAGUUUAGUCAACGGGUCUGCCACAUUCAGAUCCGUAUGUAUUUUGCAAAUUUCUAUGUCAACAAUGCUCUGCACGGAGCUACUCUGGCUAAUUGCUGCCACUUUCAAUAUGUAUCCAGAUUAAGACUUAGAGUUAUCUGGAUCAGUGUCAAAACUUGCAUCGACGUAACCCUUUACGACGAACCCUUUUUUUUCAUGUCCAUAAUCGAGAAACAUAUCCUUAUUCCACUAAGGAUAAUUUUGACUAAUGUCUAGUGAUCUACUCCUAGAUCACUAUUGUACUCCCUUGCCAAACUCAGGGCAGGGUAUACAAUAGGUCUGGUACACAGCAUGGCAUACUUUAUAGAACCUAUGGCUGAGGCAUAGGGAAUGUCUUUCAUUCUCUCUCUAUCUUCUGCCGUGGUCGGGUUUUGGGUCUUACUCAACUUCACACCUUGCAACACAGGCAAGAACUCCUUUGACUGUUCCAGUUUGAACUACUUCAAAAUCUUGUCAAGGUAUGUACUCAUUGAAAAACUUAUCAAGCGUCUUGAUCUAUCUCUAUAGAUCUUGAUGCUCAAUAUGUAAGCAGCUUCACCGAGGUCUUUCUUUGAAAAACUCCUUUCAAACACUUCUUUAUGCUUUAGAGAAUAAUUCUACAUUAUUUCUGAUCAACAAUAUGUCACUCACAUAUACUUAUCAGAAAUGUUGUAGUGCUCCCACUCACUUUCUUGUAAAUACAGGCUUCACCGCAAGUCUGUAUAAAACUAUAUGCUUUGAUCAUACUAUCAAAGCGUUUAUUCCAACUCCGAGAGGCUUGCACCAGUCCAUAAAUGGAUCGCUGGAGCUUGCACACUUUGUUAGCUCCUUUUGGAUCGACAAAACCUUCCGGCUGCAUCAUAUACAACUCUUCUUCCAGAAAUCCAUUCAGGAAUGCAGUUUUGACAUCCAUUUGCUGGAUUUCAUAAAAUGCGGCAAUUGCUAACAUGAUUCGAACAGACUUAAGCAUAGAUACGAGUGAGAAACUCUCAUCGUAGUCAACACCUUGAACUUGUCGAAAACCUUUUUGCGACAAUUCUAGCUUUGUAGAUAGUAACACUACUAUCAGCGUCCGUCUUCCUCUUGAAGAUCCAUUUAAUCUCAAUGGCUCGCCUAUCAUUGGGCAAGUCAAUCAAAGUCCAUACUUUAUUCUCAUACAUGGAUCUCAUCUCAGAUUUCAUGGCCUCAAGCCAUUUCGCGAAAUCUGGGCUCAUCAUCGCUUCCUCAUAGUUCGUAAGUUUGUCAUGUUCUAGUAACAUGACUUCCAGAAUAGGAUUACCGUACCACUUUGGUGCGGAUCUCACUCUGGUUUACCUACGAGAUUCGGUAUUAACUUGAUCUGAAGUUACAUGAUCAUCAUCAUUAGUCUUCCUCACUAAUUGGUGUAGUAGUCAUAGGAACAGAUUUCUUGUGAUGAACUACUUUUCAAUAAGGGAGAAGGUACAAUUACCUUAUCAAGUUCUACUUUCCUCCCACUCACUUCUUUCAAGAGAAACUCCUUCUCUAGAAAGGAUCCAUUCUUAGCAACAAAUGUCUUGCCUUUGGAUCUGUGAUAGAAGGUGUACCCAAUAGUCUCCUUUGGGUAUCCUAUGAAGACAUAUUUCUCUGAUUUGGGUUUGAGCUUAUCAGGAUGAAACUUUUUCAUAUAAGCAUCACAAUCCCAAACUUUAAGAAAUGACAACUUUGGUUUCUUGCCAAACCACAGUUCAGAUUGUGUUGUCUCAACGGACUUAGAUGGUGCCCUUUUAAACGUGAAUGCAGCUGUCUUUAAUGCAUAACCCCAAAACGAUAGUGGUAUAUCGGUAAGAGACAUCAUAGAUUGCACCAUAUCUAAUAAAGUAUGGUUAUGAUGUUCGGACACACCAUUAUGCUGUGGUGUUCCAGGUGGCGUGAGUAGUGAAACUAUUUCACACUGUUUUAACUAAAGGCCAGACUCGUAACUCAAAUAUUUUACCUCUGCGAUCAUAUCGUAGAAACUUUUAUUUUCUUGUUACGAUGAUUCUCCACUUCACUCUGAAAUUCUUUGAACUUUUCAAAUAUUUUAGACUUGUGUUUCAUUUAGUAGAUAUACCCAUAUCUGCUCAAAUCACCUGUGAAGGUCAGAAAAUAAUGAUACCCGCCACGAGCCUUAACACUCAUCGGAUCUCAUACAUCAGUAUGUAUUAUUUCCAAUAAGUCAGUUGCUCGCUCCAUAGUUCCGGAGAAUGGCGUUUUAGUCAUCUUGCCCAUGAGGCAUGGUUCGCAAGCAUCAACUGAUUCAUAAUCAAGUGAUUCCAAAAAACCCAUUAGCAUGGAGUUUCUUCAUGCGCUUUACACCAAUAUGACCUAAACGGCAGUGCCACAAAUAAGUUGCACUAUCAUUAUUAACUUUGCAUCUUUUGGUUUCAAUAUUAUGAUUAUGUGUAUCACUACGAUCGAGAUCCAACGAACUAUUUUCAUUGGGUGUGUAACCAUAUAAGGUUUUAUUCAUGUAAACAGAACAACAAUUUAUUCUCUUACUUAAAUGAAUAACUGUAUUACAAUAAACAUGAUCAAAUCAUAUUCAUGCUCAACGCAAACACCAAAUAACACUUAUUCAGGUUCAACACUAAUCCCGAAAGUAUAGGGAGUGUGCGAUGAUGAUCAUAUCAAUCUUGGAACCACUUCCAACACACAUCGUCACUUCACCCUUAACUAGUCUCUAUUCAUUCUGCAACUCCCGUUUCGAGUUACUACUCUUAGCAACUGAACUAGUAUCAAAUACUGAGGGGUUGCUAUAAACACUAGUAAAGUACACAUCAAUAACAUGUAUAUCAAAUAUACCUAUGUUCACUUUGCCAUCCUUCUUAUCCGCCAAAUACUUGGGGUAGUUCUGCUUCCAGUGACCAGUUCCUUUGCAGUAGAAGCACUUAGUCUCAGGCUCAGGACCAGACUUGGGCUUCUUCACUUGAGCAGCAACUUGCUUGCCGUUCUUCUUGAAGUUCCCCUUCUUCCCUUUGCCCUUUUAUUGAAACUAGUGGACUUGUCUACCAUCAACACUUGAUGCUCUUUCUUGAUUUCUACCUUCAUCGAUUUCAUCAUCAUGAAAAUCUCGGGAGUCGUUUUCGUCAUCCCUUGCAUACUAUAGUUCAUCACGAAGUUCUACUAACUUGGUGACUAGAGAAUUCUGUCAAUCACUAUCUUAUCUGGAAGAUUAACUCCCACUUGAUUCAAGCGAUUGUAGUACCCAGACAAUCUGAGCACAUGCUCACUAGUUGAGCGAUUCUCCUCCAUCUUUUGGCUAUAGAACUUGUUGGAGACUUCAUAUCUCUCAACUUGGGUAUUUGCUUGAAAUAUUAACUUCAACUCCUGGAACAUCUCAUAUGGUCCAUGACGUUCAAGACGUCUUUUGAAGUCCCGAUUCUAAGCUGUUAAGCAUGGUGCACUAAACUAUUAAGUAGUCAUCAUAUUGAGCUAGCCAAACGUUCAUAACGUCUGCAUCUGCUCCUGCAAUAGGUCUGUCACCUAGCGGUGCAUCAAGGACAUAACUCUUCUGUGCAGCAAUGAGGAUAAACCUCAGAUCACGGAUCCAAUCCGCAUCAUUGCUACUAACAUCUUUCAACACAAUUUUCUCUAGGAACAUAUCAAAAUAAACACAAGGAAACAACAACGCGAGCUAUUGAUCUACAACAUAAUUUGCAAAAUACUACCAGGACUAAGUUCAUGAUAAAUUUAAGUUCAAUUAAUCAUAUUACUUAAGAACUCCCACUUAGAUAGAUAUCCCUCUAAUCCUCUAAGUGAUCACGUGAUCCAAAUCAACUAAACCAUGUCCAAUCAUCACGUGAGACGGAGCAGUUUCAUUGGUGAACAUCACUAUGUUGAUCAUAUCUACUAUAUGAUUCACGCUCGACCUUUCGGUCUCCGUGUUCCGAGGCCAUAUCUGUAUAUGCUUGGCUCGUCAAGUAUAACCUGAGUAUUCCGCGUGUGCAACUGUUUUGCACCCGUUGUAUUUGAACGUAGAGCCUAUCACACCCGAUCAUCACGUGGUGUCUCAGCACGAAGAACUUUCGCAAUGGUGCAUACUCAGGGAGAACACUUCUUGAUAAUUAGUGAGAGAUCAUCUUAUAAUGCUACCGCCAAUCAAAGCAAGAUAAGAUGCAUAAAAGAUAAACAUCACAUGCAAUCAAUAUAAGUGAUAUGAUAUGGCCACCAUCAUCUUGUGCUUGUGAUCUCCAUCUUCGAAGCACUGUCAUGAUCACCAUCGUCACCGGCGCGACACCUUGAUCUCCAUCGUAGCAUCGUUGUCGUCUCACCAAUCUUAUGCUUCUAUCGCUACCGCUUAGUGAUAAAGUAAAGCAUUACAGCGCGAUUGCAUUGCAUACAAUAAAGCGACAACCAUAUGGCUCCUGCCAGUUGCCGAUAACUCGGUUACAAAACAUGAUCAUCUCAUACAAUAAAAUUUAGCAUCAUGUCUUGACCAUAUCACAUCACAGCAUGCCCUGCAAAAACAAGUUAGACGUCCUCUACUUUGUUGUUGCAAGUUUUACGUGGCUGCUACGGGCUUAAGCAAGAACCAAUCUUACCUACGCAUCAAAACCACAACAAUAGUUUGUCAAGUUGGUGCUUUUUUAACCUUUGCAAGGACCGGGCGUAGCUAUAUUCGGUUCAACUAAAGUUGGAGAAACUGUCACCCGCUAGCCACCUUUGUGCAAAGCACGUCGGGAGAACCGGUCUCGCGUAAGCGUACGUGUAAUGUCGGUCCGGGCCGCUUCGUCCAACAAUACCGCCGAACCAAAGUAUGACAUGCUGGUAAGCAGUAUGACUUAUAUCGCCCACAACUCACUUGUGUUCUACUCGUGCAUAUAACAUCAACACAUAAAACCUAGGCUCGGAUGCCACUGUUGGGGAACGUAGUAAUUUCAAAAAAUUUCCUACGCACACGCAAGAUCAUGGUGAUGCAUAGGAACGACAGGGGAGAGUGUGAUCUACGUACCCUUGUAGACCGACAGCGGAAGCGUUAGCACAACGCGGUUGAUGUAGUCGUACGUCUUCACGGCCCGACCGAUCAAGCACCGAAACUACGACACCUCCGAGUUCUAGCACACGUUCAGCUCGAUGACGAUCCCCGGACUCCGAUCCAGCAAAGUGUCGGGGAAAAGUUCCGUCAACACGACAGCGUGGUGACGAUCUUGAUGUACUACCGUCGCAGGGCUUCGCCUAAGCACCGCUACAAUAUUAUCGAGGAUUAUGGUGGAAGGGGGCACCGCACACGGCUAAGAAUAUGAUCACGUGGAUCAACUUGUGUCUAUGGGGUGCCCCCUGCCUCCGUAUAUAAAGGAUCAAGGGGGGGUGCGGCCGGCCAGGAGGAGGGCACGCCAGGAGGAUUCCUACUCCCACCGGGAGUAGGAUUCCCCCCUUUCCUAGUUGGAAUAGGAUUCGGGAAGGGGGAAAGAGGAGAGAGAGAAGGAAGGGGGGGCGCCGCCCCCCUCUCCUUGUCCUAUUCGGACUAGGGGUGGAGGGGCACGCGGCCCAGCCCUGACUACCUCUCCUCUCUUCCACUAAAGCCCACUAAGGCCCAUAUACCUCCCGGGGGUUCCGGUAACCUCCCGGUACUCCGGUAAAAUCCCGAUUUCACCCGGAACACUUCCGAUAUCCAAAUUGUUGGGGAACGCAAUAAUUUCAAAAAAUUUCCUACGCACACGUAAGAUCAUGGUGAUGCAUAGCAACGAGAGGGGAGAGUGUUGUCUACGUACCUACGCAGACCGACUGCGGAAGCGUUGACGCAACGUAGAGGAAGUAGUCGUACGUCUUCCCGAUCCGACCGAUCCAAGCACCGUUACUCCGGCACCUCCAAGUUCUUAGCACACGUACAGCUCGAUGACAAUCCCCGGGCUCCGAUCCAGCAAAGCGUCGGGGAGGAGUUCCGUCAGCACAACGGCGUGGUGACGAUCUUGAUGUUCUACUGUCACAGGGCUUCGCCUAAGCACCGCUACAAUAUGAUCGAGGUGGAAUAUGGUGGCAGGGGGCACCGCACACGGCUAAGAAACGAUCUCAAGGAUCAACUUGUGUGUAUCUGGGGUGCCCCUGCCUCUGUAUAUAAAGGACUAGAGGGGGGGAGGCUGGCCGGCCAAGGGUGGCGCGCCAGGAGAGUCCUACUCCCUCUCGGAGUAGGAUCCCCCCCCAAUCCUAGUUGGAAUAGGAUUCGCAGAGGGGGAAAAGAGAGAGGGGGGGCCGGCCACCUCUCCUUGUCCUAAUAGGACUAGGGGAGGGAGGGAGGCGCGUAGCCCAUCUUGGGCAGCCCCUUCUCUUUUCCACUAAGGCCCACUAAGGCCCAUAUAGCUCCCGGGGGGUUCCGGUAACCUCCCAGUACUCCGGUAAAAUCCCGAUUUCACCCAGAGCACUUCCGAUAUCCAAACAUAGGCUUUCAAUAUAUCAAUCUUUAUGUCUCGACCAUUUCGAGACUCCUCUUCAUGUCCGUGAUCACACCCGGGACUCCGAAUAACCUUCGGUACAUCAAAAUGCAUAAACUCAUAAUAACUGUCAUCGUAACGUUAAGCGUGCGGACCCUACGGUUCGAGAACAAUGUAGACAUGACCGAGACACAUCUCCGGUCAAUAACCAAUAGCGGGACCUGGAUGCCCAUAUUGGCUCCUACAUAUUCUACGAAGAUCUUUAUCGGUUAGACCGCAUAACAUCAUACGUUGUUCCCUUUGUCAUCGGUAUGUUACUUGCCCGAGAUUCGAUCGUCGGUAUCCAAUACCUAGUUCAAUCUCGUUACCAGCAAGUCUCUUUACUCGUUCCGUAAUACAUCAUCUCACAACUAACAUAUUAGUUGUAAUGCUUGCAAGGCUUAUGUGAUGUGCAUUACCGAGAGGGCCCAGAGAUACCUCUCCGACAAUCGGAGUGACAAAUCCUAAUCUCGAAAUACGCCAACCCAACAUGUACCUUUGGAGACACCUGUAAUGCUCCUUUAUAAUCACCCAGUUACGUUGUGACGUUUGGUAGCACCCAAAGUGUUCCUCCGGCAAACGGGAGUUGCAUAAUCUCAUAGUCAUAGGAACAUGUAUAAGUCAUGAAGAAAGUAAUAGCAACAUACUAAACGAUCGGGUGCUAAGCUAAUGGAAUGGGUCAUGUCAAUCAGAUCAUUCAACUAAUGAUGUGACCUUGUUAAUCAAAUAACAACACUUUGUUCAUGGUUAGGAAACAUAACCAUCUUUGAUUAACGAGCUAGUCAAGUAGAGGCAUACUAGUGACACUAAGUUUGUCUAUGUAUUCACACAUGUAUUAUGUUUCCGGUUAAUACAAUUCUAGCAUGAAUAAUAAACAUUUAUCAUGAUAUAAGGAAAUAAAUAAUAACUUUAUUAUUGCCUCUAGGGCAUAUUUCCUUCAGUCUCCCACUUGCACUAGAGUCAAUAAUCUAGAUUACACUGUAAUGAUUCUAACACCCAUGGAGCCUUGGUGCUGAUCAUGUUUUGCUCGUGGAAGAGGCUUAGUCAACGGGUCUGCAACAUUCAGAUCCGUAUGUAUCUUGCAAAUCUCUAUGUCUCCCACCUGGACUAGAUCCCAGAUGGAAUUGAAGCGUCUUUUGAUGUGCUUGGUCCUCUUGUGAAAUCUGGAUUCCUUUGCCAAGGCAAUUGCACCAGUAUUGUCACAAAAGAUUUUCAUUGGACCCGAUGUACUAGGUAUGACACCUAGAUCGGA
rnacentral:lncRNA from 1 species